AGCCAUGGGAUUGUAUUUAUCAUUGCUCUGAGUUCAUUAAAUUUGCUUUCGGGAAGUAUAAGGAGAUUUUGAUAACUACAAUCAGCUUUGACUUUAUUUAAAUUCAAGGACUCCAGCAACACAUGGUCUAGCAAUAGACUUCAAUCCAGCUCCUUCAGUUCUGUACAUGAUUUGUCCUACAUUUCAAUGGUGAAAUUCAAAAAUUUGUACAGAGCCCAGUCCUUAUACCAGUGGUGAAAUUCAGCUGGCUCUAUCCGGAUUGUGCGAUCCGAUAGUAGCGGCAGUGGGAGGCUCCGCCCACCCAUCUGGAUGUCAUCAUGUUCCGUUUUUGACCCUGUGCGCAUGCCAAUUUGUGAAGCGGUUGCAAAGCUCAGCGUGUGGGCUUCAUCUCUGCACAAGGACAAGCACAGUGAGAUGCCUUAUUAGCACCACACAGAAAACAGCAACAAUUGUAAAUCAACUGAAUAGAUUAGACUAGAGAAUAAACUUCCUCUGAUUCAGGCACU